CCGAGGAUCCUGCAGUGUGCAAGCCCCUCAGGCCCUCCCUCAGCUCAAGAAGAAAUUCCAGACCUUUGUAAAGCAAGGCUCAGAGAGUUUGCUGAAGAGGUAUCUUUAAUUUUCACUUGAGUCUCCCAAGGUCCUAACAAGCCCCAGAUUUGGAUUUGAGCCUGAGGGGUGGGCCUUGAGCCGGCAGCUUUUUCUUGGGGGAAGUGAGAGGACCAGGCUGGAAAGGGCUUCAGCUGGAUGGGACAGCUCCCCUCAACUCACACAAGGCAAGUAUUUAUGAAAAAGCUUAAUUAGCACGAGAGAGAGGCUUCUGGAACUGGGAGGGGAUCUUCCCAGGCGUCUCCUCCCUACUGCCUGCAGGGUCCUCAUCUCUGCAGGAACCUGGGGCUGCCAGAGUGCUCUGGUCUUGCAUGGUCCCACUGAGAGAGAAACAGGACAAGGCAGGGACACACAGGGGUUGGGAGUAGUUUCAUAGGACUCCAUGGUUUAGCUGCCAAUGCGUGGGCAUUCAUGUUUAGGCAUGCCACAGUAUCAUUGUGAGCACUAGCAGAGAUGCAUAUGGGCAGAGAAGGGGCUAACAGAGGUCAGUGUCAAAGAUGGGGGGAGGGCUCAGUGGGUUGCCCCUAGGCAUGGCACCAACUAAACUGUAUCACCAUAGUCAGUCCCCUUCUGGAGGAAAGCAGCUUAGCCAAUGGAAUGGGAAAUUCCAGCCCCACUUGAUCUUUUUGGCCAGGUGCUCCUGUGCAGUCCACAACUAGCACACCCGUGCCUGGCAACCCUGAAUGAGGUUAGACUGAGAGCUCCUUGAGGACAGGAACUCACGUUCCUCUUCUUUACCAUUCUAGCCCACAUAAAAGGCACCCAAUAAAUAGCUGGUAAAAGAACAAAUUAAUAAAUAUGUCAUCAUUAAAAGUUGGGGACAGUGCGUGGACUGCAGGGCUGGAGCUGGCAUUCGUCAGGAAGUUUGGGGGUAUGUGUUUCCAUGCUGUUUGUGUUUGCGCAGGCUACUUCUCUCUUAGGACUGGAGCAUCUCAGUACACGCAGUAGGGGUGUUUCACUGUUUCCCAGUUGGGGGGGUCCCAUGUUGAGUGUCCCACCACACCCUCCCUAGACAGGUCAGGCCCUGACAUCCCUCAGUCAUGCCUCAUGUCCUGCCCCUUCCCUGUGGCUCAGUCCUGUGGCUCCAGGUCAGGCAUGAGGCUUGGGGAUCCUAAGUGUGCCCGUGACAGGACCCCCAAAUCCUGUCUGUAUCCUGAGGCCUCUAUCCUGUCCUCAGGCAUCCUGGGAAGGUGGGUGGAGCUGCAUGGCUUGUGACCACCCUUGUUCAAUGUGGCACUGCUGCCACCGUGUGGGGGGCUGAGGGGGAGGCUGGUUCCUGGCUCAGUUUCAGGGCGGUGUGGCCGGUGUGUUCAGCUUCAUGGCAGCUGCCUCCUGGGCCUUCUGUAGCUUGUAUUUCUGGAUCUUUCGCUGACGGUUAUAGAGGUAAGCGGCUCCGCUCACAGUUCCCAAGAAGACAGCAACUACUACCACGAUGAUGAUGGCCAUGUUAUUCUGGUGGUCUGUGGGGAGGACACAGGGCUGAUGAGGGUUGAGUCAGGCUCACUGUCCCUGCCCUGCCCAGCUCCAAACCCCAGCACACUCACAGGUCACGUUCAGGACCACUUCGCGCCUGGUCACCCCGCGGGGGCUCCGGGCCUCACAAAGGUAAGUGCCUGCAACCUCCCGCUUGACAGGUCUCAGGUCCCCGAUGGGCAGCAAAGCAUCAUCCCCCUUCCGGUGACAUUUCAGUUCAGGAACUGGGUUCCCCCAAGCUUGGCACCGCAGGGUCUGCUGGGAGCCUUCCUCCCAUGUCCAGUUUCCCGGACAAUCCCUCUCGUCUAGUCGGGGACCAUCUGGAGAAACACAGCAAGAUGAGGAAGGGGUGAGGAACCAGGAAGACACCCCUCACCACCUCAGAGGGCAGGAGCUCAUGGGAUCUUAGGGGCUGGGUCCUCGGGGUUAGGGGCCACUGGUCAGUGGCCCCAACUCACACAGGACUCGGAGUUCCCGGAUCUGGUUCUUGUGCAACAGGUGUCCAGCCACGAUCAGGGCAGCAGAGCAGGAGAAGCUGCGUCUGUGGUCCGCGGCGCUGGCGUUUAGUCGGAAUUCUGCCCUGUGUGCUGGAGACUCGGAUGACACACCUUCCAGCGACACCGUGGUUCCGGCCUGGGCCUCACACUCCACAGUCACUAGAGUCCCUUCUGAGACUUCUGGCUCACUUAGAGUCAGGGUCACCACACACGCUAGCUGCUGGAUCCCCUCCUUUUGUGAGUUCGCCUUGACACUGGCCAUGGCCAAGACGGAGUCCUUGCUGUACAGGGAUGUAGAGUCCAGUUUCUUUUCUGCUAGCGUCAGGAUGACUUCGGCCUCCGCAGCUGGGAAAAGCCCAUCCAGAGUGCAGUUCACAGUCCACUGUGUGUCCACUUCCACAACUGCGGGGGUAGCAAGGCGUGGCUGGGUCUCUGGCAGGACUGGCGAGAGAGGGUGGGUGUGAACAGAGAGGCGACAGGCAACCUGAAGCCCCUUUCUGGGGCAUUUUCAUUCCCCCGUCUGGGACAUCCUCUGGUUUUCCAGCGACUUUGCGGCUCGGGUCACCCCUGUCCCAGAACCCAAGCCGGAUUACAGCCUUUUCAGAAGGUCCUGAAGCUGGGGCACCCCAUCCCAGACCACUCCACCCCAGUGCUCAAGAACAUGCUCUUUCCUGAAGCCUUAGCACCCCGACCAGAGGCCUCUCUCCCCUGGCUCCCCAAGGAGGAACAAAGCCCUGAGCCCAUCCUCUCUGGCGGCUCCCCAGUGCCUCACCAAAGGUUUGGAGCUGCCUGGGGGCCGAGCUGUUCUGGAACAAUCCCAGCCCUCCGGGCCUCAGGUCCAGUUCCGUGCGGCAGGAGAAAUUGGCGAGGUGGUCCUCUCUGCCCGCCAGCACCGUGACCGUGACCUCGGCGGGCUCCCCGACGGCGGGCUGCCGGCUCAGCUCCUCCUCCCCGCGGAGCAGCACCACGAAUGAAUAAGAGUGAGCCACCCACACCGACUCGAGGCCUUUCAGAAGCCCCCUUUUAAAGGAAAGAAGUUCCCAAAAUGCAAGAACCACCUGCAGACACUGAAAACGAGACUCUGAACAUCCCCUGAAAACACAACACGGUGCGCUUUGGUUUUUGCCAGGGUCUCCGCUCCGUGGGGGGUAACAGCACUUCUAGCCCAGGCUGUUUGUGAAAACUGACAGCAGCCGUGACUCAGCCCUGAGAGGGGACCCCCAGCCUUCCCACGGAGGGGUCUUAAGGACUGCGGUUCACCACACCUGUCCCAAGAGCCCCUGAAGUCUCUGUUAACGUGUCGGGGGCUGACACGCAGCUUUGGGGCUUCACUGCUACCUGCUGUAUGCGAGUGACUUUGCCUCUGGAAAAGGGGUAGAAAUUGAACCUCAGUUUCCUGAGCCAUAAAAUGGGCUGUCAGAGGUAAGACUUUUAUGAGUCCAUUUAAGAGGUAGAGAGAAUGACUGUGAAACAGGGGCAUGAGGUUUCUUUUUAGGGUGAUGGGGAGGUUCUAAAAUUAGAUUGUGGUGAUGGUUGUAGGACUCUAAAUACGUGACAAGGUGUUGAAUUGUACACUUCAAAGGGGUGUCUUUGACGGUGUGUACCUCACACCGUAUCUCAGUAAAGCUGUUUGAAGGAAUAAAAGGGCAAGAAACCCCUCCA